CCUACGGGAGGCAGCAGUGAGGAAUAUUGGUCAAUGGGCGCGAGCCUGAACCAGCCAAGUAGCGUGAAGGAUGACUGCCCUACGGGUUGUAAACUUCUUUUAUAAAGGAAUAAAGUGAGGCACGUGUGCCUUUUUGUACGUACUUUAUGAAUAAGGAUCGGCUAACUCCGUGCCAGCAGCCGCGGUAAUACGGAGGAUCCGAGCGUUAUCCGGAUUUAUUGGGUGUAAAGGGAGCGUAGAUGGGUUGAUAAGUCAGUUGUGAAAGUUUGCGGCUCAAACGUAAAAUUGCAUUUGAUACUGGGAGCCUUGAGUACAGUUGAGGUAGGCGGAAUUCGGGGUGUAGCGGGGAAAUGCUGAGAUAUCACGAAGAACUCCGAUUGCGAAGGCAGCUUACUAAACUGCCACUGACAUUGAUGCUCGAAAGUGUGGGUAUCAAACAGGAUUAGAUACCCGAGUAGUC
rnacentral:rRNA from 1 species